rnacentral:rRNA from 1 species
GGUUUUGAGAAUAUAUUUAAAAUUGGUUCUGCUCAAUGAUUAUUUAAAUGGCUGCGGUAAAUUGACUGUGCAAAGGUAGCAUAAUAAAUAGUUUAUUAAUUGUAAACUGGGAUGAAUGGAAUGAUGAAAUACUGGCUGUCUUAAUUAUAAUUAUUUUGAAUUUUACAUUUAAGUUAAAAGGCUUAACGAAAUUUUAGGGACAAGAAGACCCUGUAGAACUUGUAUUUAUUAAUGAGUUUAUUUUAAUGGGUUUGUUUAAAAUGAUUUUUUAAUAGAUUUUGUUGGGGUGACAAUUGAAAUUUAUGAACUUCAAUUUUUGGUUUCAUUAGUUUUUGGGUAAAAUGAUGAUCUUUAUUUUUGAUUAUAAGAUAAAGUUACCUUAGGGAUAACAGCGUUAUUUAUAUGGAGAGUUCUAAUCAAUAUGUAAGUUUGCGACCUCGAUGUUGAAUUAAGAUAAAUUUUUGGGGAAGAUUUUGAAUGGAUUAGGUCUGUUCGACCUUUAAAAUCUUACA